rnacentral:rRNA from 1 species
CCCUUAGAUGUCCUGGGCCGCACGCGCGCUACACUGAUGCAUGCAACGAGUUUAUAAACUUGGCCUGAAAGGUCUGGGUAAUCUUUUGAACGUGCAUCGUGAUAGGGAUAGAUUAUUGCAAUUGUUAAUCUUGAACGAGGAAUUCCUAGUAAACGCGAGUCAUCAGCUCGCAUUGAUUACGUCCCUGCCCUUUGUACACACCGCCCGUCGCACCUACCGAUUGAAUGGUUCGGUGAAGAUCUCGGACUUCGAUAUUUAUUCUUUAUUGAGUUUAUAUUGUGGGAAGUUAUCUAAACCUCAUCAUUUAGAGGAAGGUGAAGUCGUAACA